UACGGGAGGCAGCAGUGGGGAAUAUUGGACAAUGGGCGAAAGCCUGACCCAGCCAUGCCGCGUGUGUGAAGAAGGUCUUCGGAUUGUAAAGCACUUUAAGUUGGGAGGAAGGGCAGUAAGCUAAUACCUUGCUGUUUUGACGUUACCGACAGAAUAAGCACCGGCUAACUCUGUGCCAGCAGCCGCGGUAAU
rnacentral:rRNA from 1 species